ACGAACGCUGGCGGCGUGCUUAACACAUGCAAGUCGAACGGAAAGGCCUCUUUCGGGGGGUACUCGAGUGGCGAACGGGUGAGUAACACGUGAGUAACCUGCCCUUGACUUUGGGAUAACUUCAGGAAACUGGGGCUAAUACCGGAUAGGAGCUCCUGCUGCAUGGUGGGGGUUGGAAAGUUUCGGCGGUUGGGGAUGGACUCGCGGCUUAUCAGCUUGUUGGUGGGGUAGUGGCUUACCAAGGCUUUGACGGGUAGCCGGCCUGAGAGGGUGACCGGCCACAUUGGGACUGAGAUACGGCCCAGACGCCUACGGGAGGCAGCAGUGGGGAAUAUUGCACAAUGGGUGGAAGCCUGAUGCAGCAACGCCGUGUGCGGGAGGACGGCCUUCGGGUUGUAAACCGCUUUCGCUCAUGACGAAGCUUUGUGUGACGGUAGUGGGUAAAGAAGCACCGGCUAACUACGUG
rnacentral:rRNA from 1 species